rnacentral:rRNA from 1 species
GAUGAACGCUGGCGGCGUGCCUAAUACAUGCAAGUCGAACGAGUUCUGAUUAUUGAAAGUUGCUUGCAUCUUGAUUUAAUUUUGAACGAGUGGCGGACGGGUGAGUAACACGUGGGUAACCUGCCCUUAAGUGGGGGAUAACAUUUGGAAACAGAUGCUAAUACCGCAUAAAUCCAGGAACCGCAUGGUUCUUGGCUGAAAGAUGGCGUAAGCUAUCGCUUUUGGAUGGACCCGCGGCGUAUUAGCUAGUUGGUGAGGUAACGGCUCACCAAGGCAAUGAUACGUAGCCGAACUGAGAGGUUGAUCGGCCACAUUGGGACUGAGACACGGCCCAAACUCCUACGGGAGGCAGCAGUGGGGAAUAUUGCACAAUGGGCGCAAGCCUGAUGCAGCGACGCCGCGUGGGGGACGACGGCCUUCGGGUUGUAAACUCCUUUCAACCAUGACGAAGCUUUCGGGUGACGGUAGUGGUAGAAGAAGCACCGGCUAACUAC